UCCGGUUUGAACUCAGAUCAUGUGCGGGGUAGAGGUCGAACAGACCUUGUGAAAAUAGCUUCUGCACUAUUUGUAGCCGCAAUUCAACAUCGAGGUCGCAAACAAUUAUUUUAAUAAGGGCUUAAAUAAUUAUAACGCUGUUAUCCCUAGAGUACCUUAUUCGUCUAAUUUAAUAAAGAUCAUUGUUAAUAUAAAUAGUCCUAUUUAAAUUUACCCC
rnacentral:rRNA from 1 species